UAAGGAAUAUUGGUCAAUGGACGGAAGUCUGAACCAGCCAUCCCGCGUGCAGGAUGAAGGUCCUAUGGAUUGUAAACUUCUUUUGCUUGGGAAGAAAUCUGGACAUUUAUGUGCAGUUGACGGUACCUUGCGAAUAAGCACCGGCUAACUCCGUGCCAGCAGCCGCGGUAAUACGGAGGAUGCAAGCGUUAUCCGGAAUCACUGGGUUUAAAGGGUGCGUAGGCGGAUUAAUAAGUCAGUGGUGAAAUCCUGUCGCUUAACGAUAGAACCUGCCAUUGAUACAUGAUAUGUCUUGAAUUCGGGUUGAGGUGGGCGGAAUGUANNCAUGUAGCGGUGAAAUGCGUAGAUAUGCUACAGAACACCGAUUGCGAAGGCAGCUCACUGGACUACAUCUGACGCUAAUGGACGAAAGCGUGGGUAGCGAACAGGAUUAGAUACCCUGGUAGUCCACGCCCUAAACGAUGUUAACUCGAUAUUUAUUCUUCGGAGUGAGUGUCCAAGCGAAAGCGUUAAGUUAACCACCUGGGGAGUACGUUCGCAAGAAUG
rnacentral:rRNA from 1 species